UGUAGUACAAGUAUAAACAACUACAUAAAUAAACUCAAUGCAUUGUUCUGUUUCAGUAACAAAUGUAUGGAGUUGAAGAGAGUAUAACUUUAGGACUAUGGUUUGGACAAGUUAUAAAGAAGAGCAGACUCUAAUGCUGGCUAUGGCUUGUAGCAUGAGGCUUGCUAUUGUUACUUGUCCAAACUAUAGUUUUAAAGAAAUCAUCUCUUCAAUAAACUUGGCAGUAGAAAAAGAUUAUGCCAAGCACACGACAAAGUUGGAUUAGGCAUAUGCUCUAUAUUACAAACAUUAAAACCUUAAGUCUUUUUAACUUUUUAAUUCUUUGAUGUCGUUCUAUUGGAAGAGAAAUUGAAAGGGUACUCACCAUCUCUAAUGGUGGUAUAUUUUCAUUAAUGAAUUUCUUGUUAUUACAAUUGCAAUGUUGCAUUUAUACAAGUGAAUUAAACA